rnacentral:rRNA from 1 species
AUGAACCGGCCGAAUAUAGCAGAACUCAACCAAGAAAAUACCCCGUACCACCCUCUGAAACUGCCGGAAAAGAAGAUCAAUACCAUGGCCCUCCGGAUGGCGUUCUUUCAAAAGGUGAUGAGUGGUUGUGGUGCGCUGGCUUUCAUCUGGGCCACCGUUGUGCUGCUCGGUGGAUUCUCCACGCUGAUCAAGCAGAAGGACUUCUGGUUCGUAACCAUCAUCGUCUUCAUGGAAGCUACCUGGUAUAUCAGUCAUUCUUUCUUUAUUGAAAAAUCUAACUCAUUCUUUUUACACAUCAAUCAUUCCCUUUUGACAUGUUUAUUUUUAUCUUAA